GUGCCAGCCGCCGCGGUAAUACGAAGGGGGCGAGCGUUGUUCGGAGUUACUGGGCGUAAAGGGCGCGUAGGCGGUUUUUCAAGUCAGGUGUGAAAUCCCUGGGCUCAACCCGGGAAUGGCACUUGGGACUGAAAAGCUAGAGGACGAGAGAGGAUGAUGGAAUUCCCAGUGUAGAGGUGAAAUUCGUAGAGAUUGGGAAGAACACCGGUGGCGAAGGCGGUCAUCUGGCUCGUAUCUGACGCUGAGGCGCGAAAGCGUGGGGAGCAAACAGGAUUAGAAACCCUCGUAGUCC
rnacentral:rRNA from 1 species